rnacentral:rRNA from 1 species
GACGAACGCUGGCGGCGUGCGUAACACAUGCAAGUCGAACGAAGAGCGAUGGAAGCUUGCUUCUAUCCAUCUUAGUGGCGAACGGGUGAGUAACGCGUAAUCAACCUGCCCUUCAGAGGGGGACAACAGUUGGAAACGACUGCUAAUACCGCAUACGAUCUAAUCUCGGCAUCGAGGAUAGAUGAAAGGUGGCCUCUACAUGUAAGCUAUCACUGAAGGAGGGGUUUGCGUCUGAUUAGCUAGUUGGAGGAGUAACGGCCCACCAAGGCGAUGCUCAGUAGCCGGUCUGAGAGGAUGAACGGCCACAUUUGGACUGAGACACGGCCCAGACUCCUACGGGAGGCAGCAGGGGGGAAUCUUCCGCAAUGGGCGAAAGUCUGACGGGGCAACGCCGGGUGAGUGAUGACGGCCUUCGGGUUGUAAAGCUCUGUUUAUCGGGACGAAAGGCCUUCUUGCGAAUAGAGAGAAGGAUUGACGGUACCGGAAUAGAAAGCCACGGCUAACUACGUG